GGCGUAGUCGCGUGCUCCCGUGGUCGUCGCGUGUCGCUCAACCGUUUUCACACAUUUUGCUGCUAAAAUCUCUCUCCUUUCACAUCUAUUCUUGAGUAUUUCGCUUUUCAAACAUCGUACUAGUCUUCCCUACGAAUUUUCGAUGAGAUUUCGAAGGAAUCGUGUCGCGUUUCGUGAAGAGUAAGCGAUCGGAACGAACCGGCAGAAUUGGUUUCCUUUCUCCGCGGCGGUUUCGUGAAAGUGUGUGGUCGGAAUUUGAUGUGUUUCCCGUGAAAAGUUUCGCUUGUAAUCUUGCCGUGACGAUAAUUUUCAGCACAUGUAUGAACGAUUCGUGUUUAAACGGAACUUGAUAUGUACACUUUUGAUCUCGCCUUCAAUCUCCUCGUGAAAUUGACUCAUGGUGCGUGAAAUUUCGUAAAUGUGUGAACGAUUCUUGAAUGUCGCGAUUCGGUCGUGUGUUUCUGGACUUUGGACAUUAUCUCGUGUUCCUGAUUUGGAUUGAAAAUUUGGCCCAUGCAAUUACCUCUGUUACUACAUGGUUUGGCUGGUUCUGGAUCAAGUUUUUCAGUUUCUCAGUGAUAGUGUUGUGAGUGCUUUCAGCCUGGCGUCGGGCAAUUGAAUAACCUCCUGCUGAAUUCAUUGCCACGAGCUUCUUAUAAG